UACGUUAGUGCAACCUGCGCAACCGGUCCGAAAGGGAAGUACUGCAUUUGUCUCGACUAGUAUUGCUGCACGUCGACAUGUACUUCUUUUACUGUAAAACCUUUGUUUUCAUCUCUUGAUUCCAACUAUGUCCACUUACACACAUCAUGUAUGUGUGCAUGUUAGUGAUAUGGAUGUUGGAGAUGAGAUUAGUGUUUUAUGUGGUCGUAUCGUUUAUGUUUUUUUUUUUUCUUUACUAUAGAAGUGCAUGUGUUAUGUGUGAGGUGUUGGGUGUUGUUAAGAAACAGUUUAAAUAAUGUCAUGCCUCCUACGACACUAAUGGUGUCUAUUUUAUUUAAAUCAAGUGAUCCUAUAGUUUAUUAAUCUAUGUAUGGCCUCCAUAGAAACAUUUGUUUACUUAUCGAUAUUGCUUCUUCGUAUAAUCUUUCGUAUUUUGAGUAAGUAGGUUUAAUUAAGCCAAAAUGCUGAGAAGUGGGAACUGAAUGAAAUUUAAAAAC
rnacentral:lncRNA from 1 species